UUUUUGCCCCUUUUCUCUGGAAGAUCUUAAUAUAUAUAUAUAUAUAUAUAUAGUUUACCUUUUUUGUAUUACUAGGGAGAGGAAAAAGUUAAUUGUUUUCUAGAAUAGCUAAUUAAUUGUUUUCUCCAGGAUAACAUAAGGGCAUUAUUUAGUGCGUAGAUUUGAUUGUAGAGGGGACCAAUUUCUUUCAUCGUCACUGACCUAGGUUGAGAUCAGGACCACAUAAGAUUGACCACUGUUUUUGCAUCUUGAUUCCCCUGAGUUGUCACUGUCAACAUCUGGUUUAUUCUCUCCUCUCUCUCCUUAGAUAUAUAGUUGAUCUUCUUCAUCUUCUAUUUUUUGCCCCUUUUCUCUGGAAGAUCUUAAUAUAUAUAUAUAUAUUUUAAUGUUAAACAAGACUAUACGCAUGGUUGCUUGUAGAGCCCUGCAAGGACUUUAAACGAAUCAAUCUCCCUUAGAAACAGAUUCCUUGGCUAUCUUAAACGGAGAGGUAGGACAAGUUACAAGCCAAUAAAAGAGAUCACAGAUAGGGGAUUGGCCCCCAUUUCAUGAUAAGGAAGCUACUAGUCCUUUUCCAGGUGAUUUGAUUACAAACUGAAUAGCUAAAGGAAAUCUCAAGGAAACACGUACAAUGUCCAAAAUGAUGUCUCCAGCAACCUCAUGAUCUUAGGAUCUUUAUGUCCUUUUCUUCUUCCGGGCAGUUAAAUAAAUCUUAUGUGUUGUUUUCUCAUAUCACGUGAUUUAUUCUUACUUGCUCUUUAGAUAGAAAACGGUUGUCGUGUUUGGAAUUGUUCUUGUUUUUGU